UCCACUGCAGGUUUGACCAGAAAAUAACUGUUGGGGAUGUUGAAAUGCCUAUAGUUAUCCUUGGGGACCCAGCCUACCCCCUAAUGCCAUGGCUUAUGAAGCCAUACACAGUCACCCUGGACAGUGGUCAGGAGUUGUUCAAUUACAGGCUGAGCAAGUGCAGAAUGGUGGUAGAAUGUGCAUUUGGAUGUUUAAAAGCAUGCUG